rnacentral:rRNA from 1 species
UGGGGAAUAUUGGGCAAUGGGCGAAAGCCUGACCCAGCAACGCCGCGUGAAGGAAGAAGGUUUUCGGAUUGUAAACUUCUGUCCUCAGGGAAGAAGGACGUGACGGUACCUGAGGAGGAAACCCCGGCUAACUACGUGCCAGCAGCCGCGGUAAUACGGAGGGGGCGAGCGUUGUCCGGAAUGACUGGGCGUAAAGGGCGCGUAGACGGCUGUCUAAGUCUGGAGUGAAAGUCCUGUUUUCAAGGCGGGAAUUGCUUUGGAGACUGGAUGGCUUGAGUGCGGAAGAGGUAAGUGGAAUGCCCAGUGUAGCGGUGAAAUGCGUAGAGAUUGGGAGGAACACCAGUGGCGAAGGCGACUUACUGGGCCGUAACUGACGUUGAAGCGCGAAAGCGUGGGGAGCGAACA